AUUGAACGCUGGCGGCAGGCCUAACACAUGCAAGUCGAGCGGAUGAAGGGAGCUUGCUCCUGGAUUCAGCGGCGGACGGGUGAGUAAUGCCUAGGAAUCUGCCUGGUAGUGGGGGAUAACGUCCGGAAACGGGCGCUAAUACCGCAUACGUCCUGAGGGAGAACGUGGGGGAUCUUCGGACCUCACGCUAUCAGAUGAGCCUAGGUCGGAGUAGCUAGUUGGUGGGGUAAAGGCCUACCAAGGCGACGAUCCGUAACUGGUCUGAGAGGAUGAUCAGGCACACUGGAACUGAGACACGGUCCAGACUACUACGGGAGGCAGCAGUGGGGAACAUUGGACAAUGGGCGAAAGCCUGAUACAGCCAUGCCGCGUGUGUGAAGAAGGUCUUCGGAUUGUAAAGCACUUUAAGUUGGGAGGAAGGGCAGUAAGUUAAUACCUUGCUGUGUUGACGUUACCAACAGAAUAAGCACCGGCUAACUUCGUG
rnacentral:rRNA from 1 species